CCUUCGGGGAACCCGACCGAGGCCCAGCCCGGCCUGCCCCGCGCGCCGCUCACCGAGCCGAACCCCCGCAACUUCGCGCCCUCUGGAGCCCCGAGUCGCGGGCACGCCCCGGCCGCACUCACCGCGCUUGGACUCGGUGUGGCGCCCCGGCUCCGCUCCCUCCCGCACCGCCGCGGCCAGCGGAAACGGGGGGCGGGGCCGGCAGGCGGAGGGGGCGGGACCUUCACCGGGCUGCGGGGCGGGGUCUGAAUGCUCGAGGGCGGGGCUGGGAAGGGGCCGGGUGGGAGAGGCGGAGAGGACUAGGGAAGGCCGGCGGUUUGCGCCGCGGGAGGACUCGGCUGCCAGAGGAACCCAGGCUGUCCAUCCCACUUUGGCACACCCAGAGAUGGGGGUGCUGAGAUCUGGCAGGAUUCAUGACUGCAGGAAAAGGCUGCUGGAAAAGCUGGAGAGAAGAAGGGAUUAUUCAGCAAAAGGAACCAAGGUGACUUAUGAUCUAUGUGAUGAACACACCGAUCAGGAGGAAAACUCAAAUAAACCUAAUGAUGUGGCCAGAGGCUUUUGGAGAAAGAACUCCAGAAAGCAUGAGGUAGCAGGCUUCUGAAGAAUCCCAUUGCACUCAAGAAAAACACUAAAAGGAUAACUGUAUUAUUGAGCAAGCUACAGAUGAAGUUCCUCCAAGUUUGGAGGACAUCUCCCAUUUACUCCUCUUGUCCUGGCAUGGUUAUUAAUCACCCCACUUUUGCUCUCAGGAUGCCCUAAUUUGCACAAUAAAUUAUAUGCCACUUUAACUAUGACCACAGGCAAUACUCAAAACAGCUCCUUCCUUCCAGUCCCAAAUGCCAGCAUUGUUUCUGGCCUUUCUGUGAAACUCCCAGGGUUUCACAAGAGAGUAUGGUAGUUUAUCCCCCUUGAAAUUACCAUAUCAAAUCAAAAAUGAUAAUAAGCAAAAAGGAAACUUCCAGCCAGCCACCCCAAGUCAAGCUUCUUCGGGGGCAGUGACUGCUGGAUGGUGCCACCUCA
rnacentral:lncRNA from 1 species